AUUGAACGCUGGCGGCAGGCCUAACACAUGCAAGUCGAACGAGUGGCGGACGGGUGAGUAAUGUAUCGGAAAGUGCCUGGUAGAGGGGGAUCACUACCGGACACAGUGGCUAAUACCGCAUUCUAUCGGCUCGGCCGAGAUAGGAAUAGCUAGUUGGUGGGGUAAAGGCUCACCAAGGCCACGAUCCGUAGCUGGUUUGAGAGGAUGACCAGCCACACUGGAACUGAGACACGGUCCAGACUCCGACGGGAGGCAGCAGUGGGGAAUAUUGGACAAUGGGGGAAACCCUGAUCCAGCCAUGCCGCGUGUAUGAUGAAGGUCUUCGGGUUGUAAAGUACUUUUGGCAGGGAGGCGUUACCUGCAGAAUAAGCACCGGCUAACUACGUGCCAGCAGCCGCGGUAAUAC
rnacentral:rRNA from 1 species